GACGAACGCUGGCGGCGUGCUUAACACAUGCAAGUCGAACGGAAAGGCCCUGCUUUUGUGGGGUGCUCGAGUGGCGAACGGGUGAGUAACACGUGAGUAACCUGCCCUUGACUUUGGGAUAACUUCAGGAAACUGGGGCUAAUACCGGAUAGGAGCUCCUGCUGCAUGGUGGGGGUUGGAAAGUUUCGGCGGUUGGGGAUGGACUCGCGGCUUAUCAGCUUGUUGGUGGGGUAGUGGCUUACCCAGGCUUUGACGGGUAGCCGGCCUGAGAGGGUGACCGGCCACAUUGGGACUGAGAUACGGCGCAGACUCCUACGGGAGGCAGCAGUGGGGAAUAUUGCACAAUGGGCGGAAGCCUGAUGCAGCAACGCCGCGUGCGGGAUGACGGCCUUCGGGUUGUAAACCGCUUUCGCCUGUGACGAAGCGUGAGUGACGGUAAUGGGUGAAGAAGCACCGGCUAACUACGUG
rnacentral:rRNA from 1 species